CCUGAUGAGGUAUUAUAUAUAUGUGCUGUACUGCAGAUUUUGUACUCUACUAAUCUGUAGAGAACAUGGAUAGAUAUAGAAAUGUACAACAUGGUUGUGGAUGUGAAUGAGAUGGGCGUCAAGCAUACAUGCAGAUUUCUGCUAGGUCAGAGAUGAAGAAGCAAGCUGUGUUGGAGGCGCAGCUUGAGCAUUUGCUGUGUCAAAAUGGACCGAGCAAAGCGUCAUGGUGGUAUGUUAGCUUUUGGUGGAACUAAGCUUUUGCAGGAACCAAACUUGUGUUUGUAAUUCUGCUGAAACCUAUCUUUUUUUUUGUUUCUGAUGCUACAAUGGACGGCAAGUGAUACUAGAUGAAAAAAAAUGUAUGUGAUCUGUUGAUUUAAUGCGAUGCUGAAUGGAAAUGUGAUUCAUGUGAUGCUA